AUUUAUAAAGGUUAUAAUCCUUUUUUUUUUA
rnacentral:tRNA from 2 species